rnacentral:rRNA from 1 species
UACAGAGGGUGCAAGCGUUGUCCGGAAUUAUUGGGCGUAAAGGGCGCGUAGGCGGCUUUGCAAGUGACGGGUGAAAUCCCUCGGCUUAACCGAGGAACUGCCUGUCAGACUGCAUGGCUUGAGACCAGGAGAGGUGAGUGGAAUUCCCAGUGUAGCGGUGAAAUGCGUAGAUAUUGGGAGGAACACCAGUGGCGAAGGCGGCUCACUGGACUGGUACUGACGCUGAGGCGCGAAAGCGUGGGGAGCAAACAGG